GAUGAACGCUGGCGGCGUGCCUAAUACAUGCAAGUCGAGCGGACAGACGAGGCGCUUGCUCCUCUGACGUUAGCGGCGGACGGGUGAGUAACACGUGGAUCACCUACCUAUAAGACUGGGAUAACUUCGGGAAACCGGAGCUAAUACCGGAUAAUAUAUUGCACCGCAUGGUUCGAUAGUGAAAGUCGGUUUUGCUGGCACUUAUAGAUGGAUCCGGGCCGCAUUAGCUAGUUGGUAAGGUAACGGCGUACCAAGGCGAGCAUGCGUAACCGACCGGUGAGGGGGGUCGGCCACCUGGGAAGGGAGACAGGCUCAAGAGGCCUAAGGUAGGCAGCAGAAUGGAACCGGACGCAACGGGCGAAAGCCUGACGGAGUAAGGCGGCGUCAGUGAUGAAGGCCCUGGGAGCGGAAAACCGGGUUAUGAGGGAAGAACAACUGUGGAAGGAACCAAGGACGUAGUGACGGUAAUGAAUCAGAAAGCACCGGCUAACUACGUG
rnacentral:rRNA from 1 species